AUGAUCACUUCUACAAUACCUAUGCUAAAAUUGGAAUGACACAGAGACAAUUAGCAUGGCCCUGCAGAAGGACAGCACAAAUUCAUGAAGCAUUCCAUAUUUUA